rnacentral:rRNA from 1 species
UCUUUUCCUUUUUUUCCCGCCGCCGCGGUAAUACGUAGGGGGCAAGCGUUAUCCGGAUUUACUGGGUGUAAAGGGAGCGUAGACGGAUGGACAAGUCUGAUGUGAAAGGCUGGGGCUCAACCCCGGGACUGCAUUGGAAACUGCCCGUCUUGAGUGCCGGAGAGGUAAGCGGAAUUCCUAGUGUAGCGGUGAAAUGCGUAGAUAUUAGGAGGAACACCAGUGGCGAAGGCGGCUUACUGGACGGUAACUGACGUUGAGGCUCGAAAGCGUGGGGAGCAAACAGG